AGCCAGACUCCUACGGGAGGCAGCAGUGAGGAAUAUUGGUCAAUGGGCGCGAGCCUGAACCAGCCAAGUAGCGUGCAGGAUGACGGCCCUCCGGGUUGUAAACUGCUUUUAGUUGGGAAUAAAAGGGGGCUCGUGAGCCCCGUAUUGUAUGUACCAUCAGAAAAAGGACCGGCUAAUUCCGUGCCAGCAGCCGCGGUAAUACGGAAGGUCCGGGCGUUAUCCGGAUUUAUUGGGUUUAAAGGGUGCGUAGGCGGGCUGUUAAGUCAGCGGUCAAAUGUCGGGGCUCAACCCCGGCCUGCCGUUGAAACUGCAUCCCUUGAGUGCGCGAGAAGUAUGCGGAAUGCGUGGUGUAGCGGUGAAAUGCAUAGAUAUCACGCAGAACUCCGAUUGCGAAGGCAGCAUACCGGCGCGCAACUGACGCUCAUGCACGAAAGCGUGGGUAUCGAACAGGAUUAGAUACCCUGGUA
rnacentral:rRNA from 1 species